GCCUUCUUAGCUCAGUGGUAGAGCGUUGCACUUGUAUAACAUACGACCAAUCCAACUUGGAGGGGUACAUUAAUGCAAAGGUCAGUCGUUCAAUCCGGCUAGGAGGCA